rnacentral:lncRNA from 1 species
UAGCCCUGCCAAGCCUCACCCAACUCCGAGUGAGGAGUACGAAAAACUCUAGGGGCCCCUAUCCUACAACCCUGAUACUAGACCUCCAGACUUUCCUAUCAAGGGCCAUGUCCUCAGAAACCCGUAUUCUAGCCAUGUCAUACCUAAUCACCUCUCUCCAAUACCUCUUAGGCCUCGCUCUGCCUCGCCAUGCGCCGACCAUCGCCAGCCGCUCACAACUCCUCACCGAGGCAUCAGGACUUCUCCUCCGUACAUGCCCGAACCACCUCAGCCUCGCUUCUCGCAUCUUCUCAUCAACCGGGGCCACCCCCACCUUCUC